GUUUAGUAGCUUUGUGAUAAAGCUCCUGACAUAUAUUCAAGAAGAACCGGGUUCGAUUCCCGGCUAGGUUCCG
rnacentral:tRNA from 1 species